UAGAUACCCCACUAUGCCUAACCGUAAACCUUAAAUUACACCCACAUCGCCAGGGAACUACGAGCAAAGCUUAAAACCCAAAGGACUUGACGGUACCCCAUAUCCACCUAGAGGAGCCUGUCCUAUAAUCGAUAAUCCACGCUUAACCUCACCAUUUUUAGCCUACCAGCCUGUAUACCUCCGUCGUCAGCUUACCUCGUGAGCGAUUUUUAGUGAGCUUAAUGUCCACACGCCAAUACGUCAGGUCAAGGUGCAGUAAAUAAAAUGGGAAGAGAUGGGCUACACUCUCUAGUAUAGAAUACACGAAAGACUACAUAUGAAAUCUAGUCAGAAGGCGGAUUUAGUAGUAAAAAGAGAUCAUAAAGCUCUUUUUAACAUGGCACUGGGGUGUGUACACACCGCCCGUCACCCUCUUCAAAGCUAAUAGAUAGUACUUAACGUAAUAUGGCAAAACAGAAGAGGCAAGUCGUAAC
rnacentral:rRNA from 1 species